rnacentral:rRNA from 1 species
CACGUAGGGUGCGAGCGUUGUCCGGAAUUAUUGGGCGUAAAGAGCUCGUAGGCGGUGUGUCGCGUCGGCCGUGAAAACCUGCAGCUUAACUGUGGGCGGGCAGCUGAUACGGGCAGGCUGGAGUUCGGUAGGGGGAGACUGGAAUUCCUGGUGUAGCGGUGAAAUGCGUAGAUAUCUGGAGGAAUACCGGUGGCGAAGGCGCAUCCUGGACCGGCAUUGACGCUGAGGAGCGAAAGCCAGGGGAGCAAAGCGGGAUUAAGAUGACCCCUGGUAGUCCC